UACGUAGGGUGCAAGCGUUGUCCGGAAUUAUUGGGCGUAAAGAGCUCGUAGGCGGUUUGUCGCGUCUGCUGUGAAAACUCGGGGCUUAACCCCGGGCCUGCAGUGGGUACGGGCAGACUAGAGUGCGGUAGGGGAGGCUGGAAUUCCUGGUGUAGCGGCGAAAUGCGCAGAUAUCAGGAGGAACACCGGUGGCGAAGGCGGGUCUCUGGGCCGUAACUGACGCUGAGGAGCGAAAGCGUGGGGAGCGAACAGG
rnacentral:rRNA from 1 species